rnacentral:rRNA from 1 species
CCUACGGGAGGCAGCAGUGAGGAAUAUUGGUCAAUGGGCGCGAGCCUGAACCAGCCAAGUCGCGUGAGGGAUGACUGUCCUAAGGAUUGUAAACCUCUUUUGUCAGGGAGCAAAGUCCGCCACGCGUGCCCUUUUGUAUGUACUUUAUGAAAAAGGAUCGGCUAACUCCGUGCCAGCAGCCGCGGUAAUACGGAGGAUGGGAGCGUUAUCCGGAUUUAUUGGGUUUAAAGGGGGCGAAGUGGGUUGGUUAAGUCAGCGGUAAAAUUUGGGGGCUCAACCCAGACGUGCCAUUGAUACUGGCAGUCUUGAGUACGGUAGAAGUAUGCGGAAUGCGUGGUGCAGCGGUGAAAUGCAUAGAUAUCACGAAGAACUCCGAUUGCGAAGGCAGCAUAC